AGAGGGGCGGGGCGGGGUUAAAAGAUUACAAAGCAUCAGCCUCCUUUUGGUCCUUUUGGGUUAUAAUAAUAGCGAGCAACUCAUUUAAGUUACCAGCCGCAAAGCACGCCUUUGGUAACCAAUCGCUGUCCCAAAAAAAGCUGACGUCCAACCGUGCUUUGCAGGAAAUGUACUGAUGUUUCAUUUAAAAAAGUCCAAGGGCUUUUCUGCACCUAUGGACAAGCCAGUUGGGUCCCUCCAACUAAAUUUGUUUGCUCGUACAUCGUAAACGGGCCCAUCGUUAUCAUCUUUGGAACUUCGCUUAUAUUUGUGAGGUGGAGGAAGAGCUGGACAGAGGAACCAAUCCUCCGAUCACCACCAACCCCUGAUC
rnacentral:lncRNA from 1 species